rnacentral:lncRNA from 1 species
GAAUCUCUGUGUAUGAAGGUUAGUACUAAUAUUCUUACAUUAUUAAAUCUUUAUCUAUAAUAUUAUUUCACAUGUUUAGUGUAUAAUUUUUUGUCUGUUUUAAAACUUAGCUACUCAUUAUUCUAUGAUUUACAUAGGUAUCCCAUCUCUAAUUUCUCAAUAUGGCUGUUCAAGAAUUUUCCUUAAUAUAGAGUUCAUGGAAAUGAACUUUCAGACAUUGCUGUAAGUUUAACAUUUGACAAUACCUUUUUCGUAGUUUAUUGUAAAACAUGUAAUAAUUAAAUGCAAUAUUAAUAAUUACUUACUAAUUUAAUUGUACACAGGGGUGAACAACCAGAGGUCAAUCCUGAAGAUGACAGCUCCGAUGAGGAAUAAUAAUCUAUUUCUGUAAUUUAAAUUUGUUAAGUAUUUUCCGUUUCAUCAUUAUGUAAGAUAUGUGUUGUUAUCUCAUCCAAGAAAUAAU